GCGUACACGGUGGAUGCCCUGGCAGUCAGAGGCGAUGAAGGACGUGCUAAUCUGCGAAAAGCGUCGGUAAGGUGAUAUGAACCGUUACAGCCGGCGAUGUCCGAAUGGGGAAACCCAGUGCAAUUCGUUGCACUAUCGUUAACUGAAUACAUAGGUUAACGAGGCGAACCGGGGGAACUGAAACAUCUAAGUACCCCGAGGAAAAGAAAUCAACCGAGAUUCCCCCAGUAGCGGCGAGCGAACGGGGAGCAGCCCAGAGUCUGAAUCAGCUUGUGUGUUAGUGGAACGGUCUGGAAAGUCCGACGGUACAGGGUGAUAGUCCCGUACACCAAAAUGCACAGGUUGUGAACUCGAAGAGUAGGGCGGGACACGUGGUAUCCUGUCUGAAUAUGGGGGGACCAUCCUCCAAGGCUAAAUACUCCUGACUGACCGAUAGUGAACCAGUACCGUGAGGGAAAGGCGAAAAGAACCCCGGCGAGGGGAGUGAAAAAGAACCUGAAACCGUGUACGUACAAGCAGUGGGAGCACCUUCGGGUGUGACUGCGUACCUUUUGUAUAAUGGGUCAGCGACUUAUAUUCUGUAGCAAGGUUAACCGUAUAGGGGAGCCGCAGGGAAACCGAGUCUUAACUGGGCGUUAAGUUGCAGGGUAUAGACCCGAAACCCGGUGAUCUAGCCAUGGGCAGGUUGAAGGUUGGGUAACACUAACUGGAGGACCGAACCGACUAAUGUUGAAAAAUUAGCGGAUGACUUGUGGCUGGGGGUGAAAGGCCAAUCAAACCGGGAGAUAGCUGGUUCUCCCCGAAAGCUAUUUAGGUAGCGCCUCGUGAACUCAUCUUCGGGGGUAGAGCACUGUUUCGGCUAGGGGGUCAUCCCGACUUACCAACCCGAUGCAAACUACGAAUACCGAAGAAUGUUAUCACGGGAGACACACGGCGGGUGCUAACGUCCGUCGUGAAGAGGGAAACAACCCAGACCGCCAGCUAAGGUCCCAAAGUCAUGGUUAAGUGGGAAACGAUGUGGGAAGGCACAGACAGCCAGGAUGUUGGCUUAGAAGCAGCCAUCAUUUAAAGAAAGCGUAAUAGCUCACUGGUCGAGUCGGCCUGCGCGGAAGAUGUAACGGGGCUAAACCAUGCACCGAAGCUGCGGCAGCGACACUAUGUGUUGUUGGGUAGGGGAGCGUUCUGUAAGCCUGCGAAGGUGUGCUGUGAGGCAUGCUGGAGGUAUCAGAAGUGCGAAUGCUGACAUAAGUAACGAUAAAGCGGGUGAAAAGCCCGCUCGCCGGAAGACCAAGGGUUCCUGUCCAACGUUAAUCGGGGCAGGGUGAGUCGACCCCUAAGGCGAGGCCGAAAGGCGUAGUCGAUGGGAAACAGGUUAAUAUUCCUGUACUUGGUGUUACUGCGAAGGGGGGACGGAGAAGGCUAUGUUAGCCGGGCGACGGUUGUCCCGGUUUAAGCAUGUAGGCUGGUUAUCCAGGCAAAUCCGGAUAAUCAAGGCUGAGGUGUGAUGACGAGGCACUACGGUGCUGAAGUAACAAAUGCCCUGCUUCCAGGAAAAGCCUCUAAGCAUCAGGUAACAUCAAAUCGUACCCCAAACCGACACAGGUGGUCAGGUAGAGAAUACCAAGGCGCUUGAGAGAACUCGGGUGAAGGAACUAGGCAAAAUGGUGCCGUAACUUCGGGAGAAGGCACGCUGGUGUGUAGGUGAAGUCCCUGCGGAUGGAGCUGAGACCAGUCGAAGAUACCAGCUGGCUGCAACUGUUUAUUAAAAACACAGCACUGUGCAAACACGAAAGUGGACGUAUACGGUGUGACGCCUGCCCGGUGCCGGAAGGUUAAUUGAUGGGGUUAUCCGUAAGGAGAAGCUCUUGAUCGAAGCCCCGGUAAACGGCGGCCGUAACUAUAACGGUCCUAAGGUAGCGAAAUUCCUUGUCGGGUAAGUUCCGACCUGCACGAAUGGCGUAAUGAUGGCCAGGCUGUCUCCACCCGAGACUCAGUGAAAUUGAACUCGCUGUGAAGAUGCAGUGUACCCGCGGCAAGACGGAAAGACCCCGUGAACCUUUACUAUAGCUUGACACUGAACAUUGAGCCUUGAUGUGUAGGAUAGGUGGGAGGCUUUGAAGCGUGGACGCCAGUCUGCGUGGAGCCAACCUUGAAAUACCACCCUUUAAUGUUUGAUGUUCUAACGUUGGCCCCUGACCGGGGUUGCGGACAGUGUCUGGUGGGUAGUUUGACUGGGGCGGUCUCCUCCCAAAGCGUAACGGAGGAGCACGAAGGUUAGCUAAUCCUGGUCGGACAUCAGGAGGUUAGUGCAAUGGCAUAAGCUAGCUUGACUGCGAGCGUGACGGCGCGAGCAGGUGCGAAAGCAGGUCAUAGUGAUCCGGUGGUUCUGAAUGGAAGGGCCAUCGCUCAACGGAUAAAAGGUACUCCGGGGAUAACAGGCUGAUACCGCCCAAGAGUUCAUAUCGACGGCGGUGUUUGGCACCUCGAUGUCGGCUCAUCACAUCCUGGGGCUGAAGUAGGUCCCAAGGGUAUGGCUGUUCGCCAUUUAAAGUGGUACGCGAGCUGGGUUUAGAACGUCGUGAGACAGUUCGGUCCCUAUCUGCCGUGGGCGCUGGAGAAUUGAGGGGGGCUGCUCCUAGUACGAGAGGACCGGAGUGGACGCAUCACUGGUGUUCGGGUUGUCAUGCCAAUGGCACUGCCCGGUAGCUAAAUGCGGAAGAGAUAAGUGCUGAAAGCAUCUAAGCACGAAACUUGCCCCGAGAUGAGUUCUCCCUGAGACUAUAAGUCUCCUGAAGGAACGUUAAAGACGAUGACGUUGAUAGGCCGGGUGUGUAAGCGCAGCGAUGCGUUGAGCUAACCGGUACUAAUGAACCGUGAGGCUUAACCUU
rnacentral:rRNA from 1 species